rnacentral:rRNA from 1 species
CCUGACUCUGGGAUAAGCGCUGGAAACGGCGUCUAAUACUGGAUACGAGUAGCGACCGCAUGGUCAGUUACUGGAAAGAUUUAUUGGUUGGGGAUGGGCUCGCGGCCUAUCAGCUUGUUGGUGAGGUAAUGGCUCACCAAGGCGUCGACGGGUAGCCGGCCUGAGAGGGUGACCGGCCACACUGGGACUGAGACACGGCCCAGACUCCUACGGGAGGCAGCAGUGGGGAAUAUUGCACAAUGGGCGCAAGCCUGAUGCAGCAACGCCGCGUGAGGGAUGACGGCCUUCGGGUUGUAAACCUCUUUUAGCAGGGAAGAAGCGAAAGUGACGGUACCUGCAGAAAAAGCGCCGGCUAACUACGUGCCAGCAGCCGCGGUAAUACGUAGGGCGCAAGCGUUAUCCGGAAUUAUUGGGCGUAAAGAGCUCGUAGGCGGUUUGUCGCGUCUGCUGUGAAAUCCGGAGGCUCAACCUCCGGCCUGCAGUGGGUACGGGCAGACUAGAGUGCGGUAGGGGAGAUUGGAAUUCCUGGUGUAGCGGUGGAAUGCGCAGAUAUCAGGAGGAACACCGAUGGCGAAGGCAGAUCUCUGGGCCGUAACUGACGCUGAGGAGCGAAAGGGUGGGGAGCAAACAGGCUUAGAUACCCUGGUAGUCCACCCCGUAAACGUUGGGAACU